rnacentral:rRNA from 1 species
GAUGAACGCUAGCGGCAGGCUUAACACAUGCAAGUCGAACGGUAACAGGAAAAGCUUGCUUUUUGAUGACGAGUGGCGCACGGGUGCGUAACGCGUAUGCAACCUACCCUUAACUGGAGAAUAGCCCAGAGAAAUUUGGAUUAAUGCUCCAUAACAAAAAGAAUUCGCAUGUUUUCUUUUUUAAAGUUUCGAUGGUUAAGGAUGGGCAUGCGUAACAUUAGCUUGUUGGUGAGGUAAUGGCUCACCAAGGCAACGAUGUUUAGGGGUUCUGAGAGGAUGAUCCCCCACACUGGAACUGAGACACGGUCCAGACUCCUACGGGAGGCAGCAGUGAGGAAUAUUGGACAAUGGACGAAAGUCUGAUCCAGCCAUGCCGCGUGCAGGAAGAAGGCCUUCUGGGUUGUAAACUGCUUUUAUAUAGGAAGAAAACUCUGAACGCGGAGGAAAUUGACGGUACUAUACGAAUAAGCACCGGCUAACUCCGUGCCAGCAGCCGCGGUAAUACGGAGGGUCCAAGCGUUAUCCGGAUUUAUUGGGUUUAAAGGGUGCGUAGGCGGGAGAUUAAGUCAGUGGUGAAAGCCCACAGCUCAACUGUGGAAUUGCCAUUGAUACUGAUCUUCUUGAAUGCGGUUGAAGUGGGCGGAAUAUGUCAUGUAGCGGUGAAAUGCUUAGAUAUGACAUAGAACACCGAUUGCGAAGGCAGCUCACUAAACCGUGAUUGACGCUAAGGCACGAAAGCGUGGGGAGCGAACAGGAUUAGAUACCCUGGUAGUCCACGCCGUAAACGAUGAUCACUCGACAUUGGCGAUAUACUGUCAGUGUCCUAGCGAAAGUGUUAAGUGAUCCACCUGGGGAGUACGAUCGCAAGGUUGAAACUCAAAGGAAUUGACGGGGGCCCGCACAAGCGGUGGAGCAUGUGGUUUAAUUCGAUGAUACGCGAGGAACCUUACCAGGGCUUAAAUGCAGAACGACAGGCUGGGAAACCAGCUCUUCUUCGGACGGACUGCAAGGUGCUGCAUGGUUGUCGUCAGCUCGUGCCGUGAGGUGUCGGGUUAAGUCCCAUAACGAGCGCAACCCCUAUUCUUAGUUGCCAGCGAGUAAUGUCGGGGACUCUAAGAAAACUGCCUGCGUAAGCAGUGAGGAAGGUGGGGAUGACGUCAAAUCAUCACGGCCCUUACGUCCUGGGCCACACACGUGCUACAAUGGUAUAGACAAAGGGCAGCUACCUGGUGACAGGAUGCUAAUCUCUAAACUAUAUCUCAGUUCGGAUUGAAGUCUGCAACUCGACUUCAUGAAGCUGGAAUCGCUAGUAAUCGCGCAUCAGCCAUGGCGCGGUGAAUACGUUCCCGG